GACGAACGCUGGCGGCGUGCUUAACACAUGCAAGUCGAACGGAAAGGCCCUGCUUUUGUGGGGUGCUCGAGUGGCGAACGGGUGAGUAACACGUGAGUAACCUGCCCUUGACUUUGGGAUAACUUCAGGAAACUGGGGCUAAUACCGGAUAGGAGCUCCUGCUGCAUGGUGGGGGUUGGAAAGUUUCGGCGGUUGGGGAUGGACUCGCGGCUUAUCAGCUUGUUGGUGGGGUAGUGGCUUACCAAGGCUUUGACGGGUAGCCGGCCUGAGAGGGUGACCGGCGACAUUGGGACUGAGAGACGGCCCAGACUCCUACGGGAGGCAGCAGUGGGGAAUAUUGCACAAUGGGCGGAAGCCGGAUGCAGAAACGCCGCGUGCGGGAUGACGGCCUUCGGGUUGUAAACCGCUUUCGCCUGUGACGAAGCGUGAGUGACGGUAAUGGGUAAAGAAGCACCGGCUAACUACGUG
rnacentral:rRNA from 1 species